GGAAGCUGCUGCCAUCCAUAAACCACACGACUUCAGGAUGGGGCAGUGGCUGAUCCUUUAGAUCCUGUCGUAUACUGGUCUCUUCUGCCAGUAUAUGUUGACAGUCAUGGAUGACAGGCUCUGAUGAUUCUUCAGUGUACAUACAAAAUAUCAUCACAUUCUGGACCAGGAUGACAGGAUGUUGAGUAGACAUAGGAUGUUGAAUAGGCAGAAGAGUGUCAGCACUCAUUGAGCAUUUCAAUGUAUCCUCCUUUACCUAUAUUUGAAAGGAUUCACCCUGCAUUGUGAAAAGCAAGAGAAUGGCCUUCCCACAGGCAACUAUCUUCCAAGACAGACUUUCUUCACUGCCCAUCCAUCUCCCCCCCGCCACCCCACCCAAAACUGCAAGGAGACCCAAGUCUUUCCUGGUCACAAAAUUGAGUUAGAAGAUUGUUACAGAUUUCUUACCUACCAUGCAUGAUGUCUUGGGUUUGAUCCCCAGCAUUGUAAAAAAAAAUGAAUAAAUAAAUUAAUCAAAAAUAUGACUCAUGAGGAGGAGUGCUAUGUUCCAAAAUAAUUACUUGAAUUUUCAAGUAUAUACAAGUAGAAAACUGGAGACCAUAUUUGGAAAUGUAUAUUAAAGAUUUAAUAUAGUAAGGGAAGGAACACAAUGUUGAGCUAGGAUGGUUUUAUUAAGCAGAUAAUAUGCAUCUAGUGUUGCAAAACCAACAGGUAUAAAGUGAUCAAAUAGUUGAGUUGGCACCUUAGAUAUAGAAGAAUGAAUGACUUCCCCUUUUAUAACUUGAAAUGGCUAAUCUCAGUUUCUUGUGGAGAAGAAGGAUUCAAAGGAAUACGGAAAUUGGACAUUGAGAUUGUUUUCAUCAUUCAAGAAAUGUCCAUCUACAAUGGGAAGUUACUCAUGACAUACAUUUAACCAGUAUUUUGAGAUAUAAAAAAUUCAUAAGCAUUUCCCAACCAUCUUUGUCAAGUUCAAAAAUCACUGAUCUUUUGGUCAGAACAUACAGAGAAGCGUUAGGCACUUAAUUGGAAAGCUUAAAAACAAGGAGAGUUAAAAGAUGCUAUGGUGGGAGGGGACCAGUGACCACACUCAUUUUUCAAAGACAUUGU